GGGUUGUGAGGUUAAGCGACUAAGCGUACACGGUGGAUGCCCUGGCAGUCAGAGGCGAUGAAGGACGUGCUAAUCUGCGAAAAGCGUCGGUAAGGUGAUAUGAACCGUUAUAACCGGCGAUGUCCGAAUGGGGAAACCCAGUGCAAUUCGUUGCACUAUCGUUAACUGAAUACAUAGGUUAACGAGGCGAACCGGGGGAACUGAAACAUCUAAGUACCCCGAGGAAAAGAAAUCAACCGAGAUUCCCCCAGUAGCGGCGAGCGAACGGGGAGCAGCCCAGAGUCUGAAUCAGCUUGUGUGUUAGUGGAACGGUCUGGAAAGUCCGACGGUACAGGGUGAUAGUCCCGUACACCAAAAUGCACAGGUUGUGAACUCGAAGAGUAGGGCGGGACACGUGGUAUCCUGUCUGAAUAUGGGGGGACCAUCCUCCAAGGCUAAAUACUCCUGACUGACCGAUAGUGAACCAGUACCGUGAGGGAAAGGCGAAAAGAACCCCGGCGAGGGGAGUGAAAAAGAACCUGAAACCGUGUACGUACAAGCAGUGGGAGCACCUUCGGGUGUGACUGCGUACCUUUUGUAUAAUGGGUCAGCGACUUAUAUUCUGUAGCAAGGUUAACCGUAUAGGGGAGCCGCAGGGAAACCGAGUCUUAACUGGGCGUUAAGUUGCAGGGUAUAGACCCGAAACCCGGUGAUCUAGCCAUGGGCAGGUUGAAGGUUGGGUAACACUAACUGGAGGACCGAACCGACUAAUGUUGAAAAAUUAGCGGAUGACUUGUGGCUGGGGGUGAAAGGCCAAUCAAACCGGGAGAUAGCUGGUUCUCCCCGAAAGCUAUUUAGGUAGCGCCUCGUGAAUUCAUCUUCGGGGGUAGAGCACUGUUUCGGCUAGGGGGUCAUCCCGACUUACCAACCCGAUGCAAACUACGAAUACCGAAGAAUGUUAUCACGGGAGACACACGGCGGGUGCUAACGUCCGUCGUGAAGAGGGAAACAACCCAGACCGCCAGCUAAGGUCCCAAAGUCAUGGUUAAGUGGGAAACGAUGUGGGAAGGCACAGACAGCCAGGAUGUUGGCUUAGAAGCAGCCAUCAUUUAAAGAAAGCGUAAUAGCUCACUGGUCGAGUCGGCCUGCGCGGAAGAUGUAACGGGGCUAAACCAUGCACCGAAGCUGCGGCAGCGACGCUUAUGCGUUGUUGGGUAGGGGAGCGUUCUGUAAGCCUGCGAAGGUGACCUGUGAGGGUUGCUGGAGGUAUCAGAAGUGCGAAUGCUGACAUAAGUAACGAUAAAGCGGGUGAAAAGCCCGCUCGCCGGAAGACCAAGGGUUCCUGUCCAACGUUAAUCGGGGCAGGGUGAGUCGACCCCUAAGGCGAGGCCGAAAGGCGUAGUCGAUGGGAAACAGGUUAAUAUUCCUGUACUUGGUGUUACUGCGAAGGGGGACGGAGAAGGCUAUGUUAGCCGGGCGACGGUUGUCCCGGUUUAAGCAUGUAGGCUGGUUGUCCAGGCAAAUCCGGAUAAUCAAGGCUGAGGUGUGAUGACGAGGCACUACGGUGCUGAAGUAACAAAUGCCCUGCUUCCAGGAAAAGCCUCUAAGCAUCAGGUAACAUUAAAUCGUACCCCAAACCGACACAGGUGGUCAGGUAGAGAAUACCAAGGCGCUUGAGAGAACUCGGGUGAAGGAACUAGGCAAAAUGGUGCCGUAACUUCGGGAGAAGGCACGCUGGUGUGUAGGUGAAGUCCCUGCGGAUGGAGCUGAGACCAGUCGAAGAUACCAGCUGGCUGCAACUGUUUAUUAAAAACACAGCACUGUGCAAACACGAAAGUGGACGUAUACGGUGUGACGCCUGCCCGGUGCCGGAAGGUUAAUUGAUGGGGUUAUCCGUAAGGAGAAGCUCUUGAUCGAAGCCCCGGUAAACGGCGGCCGUAACUAUAACGGUCCUAAGGUAGCGAAAUUCCUUGUCGGGUAAGUUCCGACCUGCACGAAUGGCGUAAUGAUGGCCAGGCUGUCUCCACCCGAGACUCAGUGAAAUUGAACUCGCUGUGAAGAUGCAGUGUACCCGCGGCAAGACGGAAAGACCCCGUGAACCUUUACUAUAGCUUGACACUGAACAUUGAGCCUUGAUGUGUAGGAUAGGUGGGAGGCUUUGAAGCGUGGACGCCAGUCUGCGUGGAGCCAACCUUGAAAUACCACCCUUUAAUGUUUGAUGUUCUAACGUUGGCCCCUUACCGGGGUUGCGGACAGUGUCUGGUGGGUAGUUUGACUGGGGCGGUCUCCUCCCAAAGCGUAACGGAGGAGCACGAAGGUUAGCUAAUCCUGGUCGGACAUCAGGAGGUUAGUGCAAUGGCAUAAGCUAGCUUGACUGCGAGCGUGACGGCGCGAGCAGGUGCGAAAGCAGGUCAUAGUGAUCCGGUGGUUCUGAAUGGAAGGGCCAUCGCUCAACGGAUAAAAGGUACUCCGGGGAUAACAGGCUGAUACCGCCCAAGAGUUCAUAUCGACGGCGGUGUUUGGCACCUCGAUGUCGGCUCAUCACAUCCUGGGGCUGAAGUAGGUCCCAAGGGUAUGGCUGUUCGCCAUUUAAAGUGGUACGCGAGCUGGGUUUAGAACGUCGUGAGACAGUUCGGUCCCUAUCUGCCGUGGGCGCUGGAGAAUUGAGGGGGGCUGCUCCUAGUACGAGAGGACCGGAGUGGACGCAUCACUGGUGUUCGGGUUGUCAUGCCAAUGGCACUGCCCGGUAGCUAAAUGCGGAAGAGAUAAGUGCUGAAAGCAUCUAAGCACGAAACUUGCCCCGAGAUGAGUUCUCCCUGAGACUUUAAGUCUCCUGAAGGAACGUUAAAGACGAUGACGUUGAUAGGCCGGGUGUGUAAGCGCAGCGAUGCGUUGAGCUAACCGGUACUAAUGAACCGUGAGGCUUAACCUUACAACGCCGAAG
rnacentral:rRNA from 1 species